rnacentral:rRNA from 1 species
CAGUCGCCACGGGAAUACGAAGGGUGCAAGCGUUACUCGGAAUUACUGGGCGUAAAGCGUGCGUAGGUGGUGGUUUAAGUCCGUUGUGAAAGCCCUGGGCUCAACCCGGGAAUUGCAGUGGAUACUGGGUCACUAGAGUGUGGUAGAGGAUAGUGGAAUUUCCGGUGUAGCAGUGAAAUGCGUAGAGAUCGGAAGGAACAUCUGUGGCGAAGGCGACUAUCUGGGCCAACACUGACACUGAGGCACGAAAGCGUGGGGAGCAAACAGGAUUAGAUACCCCUGUAGUCCCUGUCUCUUAUAC